UAUUAACAAUUUCAUCCAUUUGUAUUGUUAAAAACUAGCAUUUUUGACUAAAUAAUUAGACAAUGACACAUGACAUGCCAUGUGUACCUCAUGCUGAUUUAUAGGGAUCGAUUUUAACAAUAGAAAUGGAUGAAAAUUUUAACA
rfam:Gossypium hirsutum cultivar TM-1 chromosome 6, whole genome shotgun sequence